GCUUCCUGUAAAGAACCCUAGACAGCUCUCCCAGAAUGCUGGGUGCUCUCUGACUUCUAGCUUCUUACUCCUUCCUGUGGCUUUCUCUGACUCCUGGCUUCCAGUUUCUUCUCUUUAUAAGACCUCCAGCAAUCUGGAUUAAGAACUACCUUUAUUCAGUUGGGCCACAUCUGAACUAAAUAUAGGAUCUUAAGAGGGCCUAUUUACAAUGGACCCACAGGAAUGCAUAUUAAGAUGAAGAAUACAUUUAUGUUGGGUACAUAAUUCAGUCAACCACUGAGCUGUAGCCAUGGAGGGAAGUGGCUAUUGCCAACUAUUGACACUAGAGCAGAGAGGGAACAAGGCAGAAAUGUCACCUCUCUCUCUGUCCUCUGAUAUCCUGCCUGUGAAUCUCCAGUGUUCUGAACUCAAAUGAAGCUGGCCAGCAAGAAAGCCCAGGAGAAGUCAUCAGGAAGUCAGCCUACUGUGCCACAGAGCAGGCAAUGAUGAGGAGAGUUGGACAAGAGAUUGGUUUAGGCACCACAAUGGGAUAAAAGCUUGUUCCAUGGUCUGUAAUGGGAUGUUAUGCUGGGGCCUUCUGGAAAAGGGAUGGAAGACAGGGAGUUGCCCCUUCCAGCCUUUGGGCAUGGGGGUGUGUUGCUUGGAGAAGUGGCAACGAACAUAUGACAGUAAGGAAAGUGGAAAAGCCAAAGUACAGCCCUCUCUACAUUGUCUUGCUGAGAUAGCCAACUCUGGAACCAUUUACUUGGGCACUUAUUGUCAUAAGAGGAUAUAUUGCAAGGGGAAGGAAAUGAUCACAGGAAACAGAUCUGAGAUACAAUAAAGGAAACAUGAGCUAAUGAAAUGAUGAAUUGGAAGAGGUCAAAGAUAUUAAUUACCUCUGAACUUCAUCCAGAGUUAAAUAUGUUGAGCAAUCACUAAAGGGAAGUAGAAAAAUGGAAUGGCUUCAAGCCACCACAUUAAUUUGGAAAAAAAGGUCCUUACAGACAUGAUUAAGUUAAGAAUUUUGAGAUGUGAUAGUCCUGGAUUAUCCAUAUAGGGCCUAAAUCCUAUGAAGAGUGUCUUUAUAAGAGAAAGGAUGAGGAAUAUUUGAGACAGAUGAAGGGGGCAAAGACUUGAAGAGGAUAAGGCAAUGUGAAGAUGAGGCUGAGACUGGAGUGGUGCCACUAAAAGCAAGGAUCACCAAGGAUUGCUGGCAACCACCAGAAGCUAAGGGAGAGUAAUGGAAUGGAUUCUCCCCAGGAGCCUCUGGAGGGACUGUGGCCACGCUGAUACUUUGAUUUCAGAUUUCCGGCCUCCAGAAUGGAAUCUGUGCUAAUUUGUUACAGCAGCCACAGGAAACUAAUACAAAAGCGAACACAAAUAUGUAAAUUAUCAUUGUAAUUCUAAGUGGUCUCAACUCUCCUCAUAAAGGACAUUGAUUGUCAAAAUCAAUUGAGCUAUAUAUUCCCACAAUUAUACAAAAAGAAAAAGGAAUGAAAGACAGUGACAAAUGCAAUAUGUGAUCUUUGAUGGGCUGUAACAAGGGAGGAGAAAUUGAUCAAAAGAACAUUAUUGGAACAUGACAAAAUUGGAAUAUAGAUUGUAAACUUUAUAUCCAUGUUAAAUGUCUUGAACUUGAUAUUGCAUUAAUGUGAUACAUAAGUGAAUAUUCUUGCUCUUGGGAAAUGUACAUGAUGGUAUUAACAGUUCAAGGAACAUAAUGUAUACAAUCUACACUCAAGUGUUCAGAAAAUGAAUGGAUAGAUAGAUAGGUAGAUGGAUAGAUGAUAUAUAGAUAGAACAACAUGGCAAAUGUGGUAAAAUGUUAAAAUUGCUUGGAUCUGGGUAUGUGGGAUUAGGGUAUAUUGGAGUUCUCUGUAUGGGGUUUGUAUUAUUUUUGUACUUGUCCUGUGUAUUUGAAAGUAUUUCAAAACAAAAAGUUAAAAUAAAAAGGAUCA